AACGAACGCUGGCGGCGCGCCUAAUACAUGCAAGUCGAGCGAGAAGACGUAGCAAUACGUUUGUAAAGCGGCGAACGGGUGAGGAAUACAUGGGUAACCUACCCUCGAGUGGGGAAUAACUAGCCGAAAGGUUAGCUAAUACCGCGUACGCUCCUUGGACUUCGGUUCAGGGAGGAAAGCGAUACCGUGGGUAUCGCGCUCUUGGAUGGGCUCAUGUCCUAUCAGCUUGNGGUGAGGUAACGGCUCACCAAGGCUUCGACGGGUAGCUGGUCUGAGAGGACGAUCAGCCACACUGGCACUGCGACACGGGCCAGACUCCUACGGGAGGCAGCAGUAAGGAAUAUUGCGCAAUGGGCGAAAAGCCUGACGCAGCGACGCCGCGUGGGGGAUGAAGGUCUUCGGAUUGUAAACCCCUUUCGGG
rnacentral:rRNA from 1 species